UAAAGGAUAUUUUCUAUUCACUGUAUUUGAGUAUCAUGUUUACAAUGGUCCAGGCAGACACUAACAGGUAGAAUGAUGAGAAUAAAUGUUAUCUCUAAUUUUAAGAUCUCUGUCUAGUGAAAAGGUUAGAAAAUUAUACCUCAAUUUUUAAUAACAUAAGAAGAGCGCAUCCAACAUGCUAUGAGACGGUAGAGUUGGGUCUGGAAUCUAACAAUAAGACCACACAUAUGUAAAAAGAGCUUAUCAGAUGGAGAAAUAUAAAACAUAGAAGGAGGACUUGAAAAGCUGAGACAGGUGUGAAGUGUGAUGGUAAAAUUUUAAAGCAGAUGAUGAAGGAAAGCCUCACUGUGAAAAAGAUAACCGAGUGGACAGGAAAGAGAUAUUUGGUUUUUAGCAUUGUAGAUACGCAAGAGGGAACUUGUAUCUCCCAAGUCACUUCAGCUGAACUCAGACCAGAAAAACAGCACAGAAUAAGGGGUUUGUCUGACUUCUCUAUUUGGCCCACUGCAGUCUCAGGCAGUUCCUGGAGAAGUCCCCAUGAAGCCCCGUACGUGCAGCAACUUUGACAGGGGCCGUUAACCUCCACUGGUUUGUGGUCUAGUUCUGAUUCUCCUCUCAAACUGAAGACACCGCGUGUCCCAGGAGAGACUAAACAUCCAAAAGAGUUUUAUAGGUCUCAUAUCACGGUUACAGCAGGGCUGAAUGUGUUCCUUGCCAGCAUUUAUGGCUCAUGGCUGAAUCACUCCAAUUUCUGCUUCCAUGAUGACAUUGCCUUCGCUUUUGUACUCAAAUCUCCCUCUGCCUCACCCUUCUACAAAUACAUGUGAUUACAACAAACUCACUCCAUCUCAAGAUUCUUACUUUCAUCACUUCUGCAAAGUCCUUUUGCCAUAGAAAUUAAUAUUAAUGGUUUCCAGUGAUUGUGAGUUGGAUACUUUGGGGGCCAUUAUUCAGAUUACCACAGAACCCAAGAUGCCCCCAGGUUGUGUUCUGCCCCCAUCUGGACCCUUCUUAGCCCACAAGAUACACUCGGACAGUUUAUCCCAGUAUUGCAGACAUGCCAUUGGGUUUUCAGGGGAACUUUCACUACUCUGUCACAUAGGCUACUUCAGUGGGCAUGUUGCUAAUAUCUUUUAUCCAUAAUGUCACACCCACACCCAUUCUCCAUAAUUCUUUGUUGCAUUCUAUGCUCCUGGAAGCUGAACUCUUAACAACUGCAUCACACAGACAUUCUUGCCUUCUGGCUUCUGGCUAGUUUCAGCUAUGGGGAGACGUUGACAGGAGAUCAGAACAUGAGAGGAGAAAGUAGGCAAAUUAUUUAAUUCUUCAGUUUCUCCUUGACUAAUCAGGUCCUGGCAAUGGCCAAAAUCUGUCCUUGUGAACUCCUAGCAUCCUUCCGACACUCAACAGUGGAGCACAACAUGAUCAUUAUCCUGCCGUACACAACAUUGCCUAAAAAAAUCAAUGUGUUCUAUUCAUUAAGGAAUAAAAGCUGAGUCCUGAUAAAGUGCUUUGUGGUAGUUUCCUAGAAUAUUGGCUGCUAAAAAAUAUUUGCCAUAUAAUUACUAAAUAAAUAAACCAUCUGUAUUCUGAUAUGGCAUAUGUGGCAUUUCUUUCAGAAAGAGUCAGCAUUUUAUUUAGCAUUUAACCCAGUAGUUAUUUUUUUUUUAAAGAUUUUAUUUAUUUGACAGAGAUAGAGACAGCCAGUGAGAGAGGGAACACAAGCAGGGGGAGUGGGAGAGGAAGAAGCAGGCUCAUAGCAGAGGAGCCUGAUGUGGGGCUCGAUCCCAUAACGCCAGGAUCACGCCCUGAGCUGAAGGCAGAAGCUUAACCGCUGUGCCACCCAGGCGCCCCAACCAGCAGUUAUUUUUAAUCAUCAUGUACCUGGUU